rnacentral:lncRNA from 1 species
AAAUUUCGAUUCCAUGUUUUCAAAGGCCUUUAUCAUUUGAUCUUUAAUUGUUGCACCAAUUCAGAGUUUCACCUUGAGUAACAUCAUUUGCCUUACCCGAUCACUGGGUCCGAGCUACAGGAUGUCACAUUCGUUGCUAGAGCAAUGAUAGUCAAAUACGCGGUAAGUAAUCAUCUACACAUGUAAUUAAGUUUCAAUCACAUCCAAG